rnacentral:rRNA from 1 species
CCUACGGGGGACAGCAGUGAGGAAUAUUGGUCAAUGGACGAGAGUCUGAACCAGCCAAGUAGCGUGAAGGAUGACUGCCCUAUGGGUUGUAAACUUCUUUUAUAAAGGAAUAAAACGAGGCACGUGUGCGGUUUUGCAUGUACUUUAUGAAUAAGGAUCGGCUAACUCCGUGCCAGCAGCCGCGGUAAUACGGAGGAUCCGAGCGUUAUCCGGAUUUAUUGGGUUUAAAGGGAGCGUAGGCGGGUUGUUAAGUCAGUUGUGAAAGUUUGGGGCUCAACCCUAAAAUUGCAGUUGAUACUGGUGUCCUUGAGGACAGGAGAGGUAGGCGGAAUGCGUGGUGUAGCGGUGAAAUGCUUAGAUAUCACGCAGAACUCCGAUUGCGAAGGCAGCCUGCUGGACUGUAACUGACGCUGAUGCUCGAAAGUGUGGGUAUCAAACAGGAUUAGAUACCCCUGUAGUC